AUUGCACGCUGGCGGCAGGCCUAACACAUGCAAGUCGAGCGGAGCUGCGGACGGGUGAGUAAUGCCUAGGAAUCUGCCUGUUAGUGGGGGAUAACGUCCGGAAACGGGCGCUAAUACAGCAUCCUAUCAGAUGAGCCUAGGUCGGAUUAGCUAAUUGGUGGGGUAAAGGACUACAAAGGCGACGAUCCGUACCUGGUCUGAGAGGAUGAUCAGUCACACUGGAACUGAGACACGGGCCAGACUCCUACGUGAGGCAGCAGUGGGGAAUAUUGGACAAUGGGCGAAAGCCUGAUCCAGCCAUGCCGCGUGUGUGAAGAAGGUCUUCGGAUUGUAAAGCACUUUAGGUUGAGAGGCGUUAUCAACAGAAUAAGCACCGGCUAACUUCGUGCCAGCCGCCGCGGUAAUUC
rnacentral:rRNA from 1 species